GACGAACGCUGGCGGCGUGCUUAACACAUGCAAGUCGAACGGAAAGGCCCUGCUUUUGUGUGGUGCUCGAGUGGCGAACGGGUGAGUAACACGUGAGUAACCUGCCCUUGACUUUGGGAUAACUUCAGGAAACUGGGGCUCAUACCGGAUAUGAGCUCCUGCUGCAUGGUGGUGGUUGGAAAGUUUCGGCGGUUGGGGAUGGACUCGCGGCUUAUCAGCUUGUUGGUGGGGUAGUGGCUUACCAAGGCUUUGACGGGUAGCCGGCCUGAGAGGGUGACCGGCGACAUGGGGACUGAGAUACGGCCCAGACUCCUACGGGAGGCAGCAGUGGGGAAUAUUGCACAAUGGGCGGAAGCCUGAUGCAGAAACGCCGCGUGCGGGAUGACGGCCUUCGGGUUGUAAACCGCUUUCGCCUGUGACGAAGCGUGAGUGACGGUAAUGGGUAAAGAAGCACCGGCUAACUACGUG
rnacentral:rRNA from 1 species